rnacentral:rRNA from 1 species
AGCAGUCGCCGCGGUAAUACGAAGGGGGCUAGCGUUGUUCGGAUUUACUGGGCGUAAAGCGCACGUAGGCGGAUCGAUCAGUCAGGGGUGAGAUCCUGGAGCUCAACUCCAGAACUGCCUUUGAUACUGUCGAUCUCGAGUCCGGAAGAGGUGAGUGGAACUCCUAGUGUAGAGGUGGAAUUCGUAGAUAUUAGGAAGAACACCAGUGGCGAAGGCGGCUCACUGGUCCGGUACUGACGCUGAGGUGCGAAAGCGUGGGGAGCGAACAGGAUUAGAUACCCCCGUAGUCCCUGUCUCUUAUAC